AACGAUGACACAAGGUGCAGGGCUGAGGAGAAGUGGGCUCCAUGAAUCAAUACCACUGUGAACAAGAUCCGACUACAGAGAAAAGAGUGAAAGUGACUGUGACUGGAGAAAUCCUUGAAAAAACCACUUGUGUUUGACAGGAGAAAAGACAUCUGAACUGUCCAAUAAUCCAAUCAUGUAGAAGUUGUAAAAAAACCUGGAUGCUCCUACCACAAAGUAUGACACACUGAGGUUAUACCAAAAGCAACAGAGGGUCCUGUGGCACCUUUGAGACUAACAGAAGUGUUGGGAGCAUAAGCUUUCGUGGGUAAGAACCUCACUUCUUCAGAUGCAAGUAAU